CCCGAGCUCUCUCCCUCUCUCUCUCUCUCCCUCGAAGGACCCACGGCCCAAGCUCUCACUCUCUCUAUAAAUCAUCUUGGGCUCUCAAUUUUCCAGCCCCUGACUAAGCCACCAAAGCCCUAGCUCUAUUUCUCAGCCCCAGACCAAGACAUCCAAGCCCGAGCUCGAUCUCUCAACCCCAUCAAAGCCCUCGAUCUUUUAUCUGUUUCUAAUAGAUUUAGUGAUGCAAGACCUGGAACAACCAAUAGGAACAAGGGACCCAUCCACUUCGUCCGAUCAAAGGCAAAAGAGUAAAGGGUGUUAGUAUUCGUGAUGGAGGCAAGUAAGUCGUGUUUGGGUUGCUGAAGCUCGAAGUUCGAGGAGGUAAAGAGCCGUGUUUUGAAGAUUUUCAUAGUAUGUUUUGGGUGGACUUACGAUUGUGAUGUAGACUUUAUUUUGUGUAUUUUGGGCCAGUAGAGCCUUGAAGAAAAUUGUAAGUACUUUUGGAUAUCGAUGUGAAUGGUUUGACCGUACUUUUGGAUGUACAACUUGUCUUUAU